UUUGGAAGUAAAAAUCGUAACAAGGUCUCCGUUGGUGAACCAGCGGAGGGAUCAUUACCGAGUUAUACAACUCAUCAACCCUGUGAACAUACCUAAACGUUGCCUCGGCGGGAACAGACGGCCCCGUGAAACGGGCCGCCCCCGCCAGAGGACCCCCUAACUCUGUUUCUAUAAUGUUUCUUCUGAGUAAAACAAGCAAAUAAAUUAAAACUUUCAACAACGGAUCUCUUGGCUCUGGCAUCGAUGAAGAACGCAGCGAAAUGCGAUAAGUAAUGUGAAUUGCAGAAUUCAGUGAAUCAUCGAAUCUUUGAACGCACAUUGCGCCCGCCAGUAUUCUGGCGGGCAUGCCUGUUCGAGCGUCAUUACAACCCUCAGGCCCCCGGGCCUGGCGUUGGGGAUCGGCGGAGCCCCCCGUGGGCACACGCCGUCCCCCAAAUACAGUGGCGGUCCCGCCGCAGCUUCCAUCGCGUAGUAGCUAACACCUCGCGACUGGAGAGCGGCGCGGCCACGCCGUAAAACACCCCAACUCUUC
rnacentral:rRNA from 1 species